AUGUACUCUCUUCGACAACAUAUAUACAAAAAUUGGAAUGGUACAGAGAUGAUUAACAUGGCCCCUGUGCAAGGAUGACACGCAAAUUUGCAUUCCAUAUUUUU